rnacentral:rRNA from 12 species
UGAGCUAGCCAUACCAUCCUGCAAGUGCCUGACCUUAGAAGCUAAGCAAGGCCUGACUUGGUUAGUACAUGGAUGGGAGGCUCAGCCACUGAGGUUGCACAAACCAGGGUGGUCUUAGUGUUGGUCCCA